rnacentral:rRNA from 1 species
ACUCCUACGGGAGGCAGCAGUGGGGAAUAUUGGACAAUGGGGGCAACCCUGAUCCAGCCAUGCCGCGUGUGUGAAGAAGGCCUUUGGUUGUAAAGCACUUUAAGCAGGGAGGAGAGGCUAAUGGUUAAUACCCAUUAGAUUAGACGUUACCUGCAGAAUAAGCACCGGCUAACUCUGUGCCAGCAGCCGCGGUAAUACAGAGGGUGCGAGCGUUAAUCGGAAUUACUGGGCGUAAAGCGAGUGUAGGUGGCUCAUUAAGUCACAUGUGAAAUCCCCGGGGCUUAACCUGGGAACUGCAUGUGAUACUGGUGGUGCUAGAAUAUGUGAGAGGGAAGUAGAAUUCCAGGUGUAGCGGUGAAAUGCGUAGAGAUCUGGAGGAAUACCGAUGGCGAAGGCAGCUUCCUGGCAUAAUAUUGACACUGAGAUUCGAAAGCGUGGGUAGCAAACAGGAUUAGAUA